rnacentral:pre_miRNA from 1 species
AGUGGGAUAGCUGGGUCAAAUGGUGGUUCCAUUUCCAAGAAAUUUCCAUAAUGCUUUCCAUUAUUGGCUGCACCAAUUUGCAGUCCCACCAGCAAU